rnacentral:lncRNA from 1 species
GUUCAAUUCUUCUCUCCCACAUUCUUGGAGCUUGCUUCCAUCUUUUGGAGGCCUCCCACCUGAGAUCUUAUGUGUUUCCAAACACAAGACACGUUUGAAGCCUUGUUAUUUCACUUGAUUCAAGGGCUCUUUGCAAUCCCAAGAACUAUUGUUUGAUGAUUCAUUGCUUACUUCACAUAGGAUGGACGCGGGCCUUAGUAACUUUAAAACAUGAAAGGCAAGUUAUGUGUAUUUUGUUCUCUGUUUAUUCCAAAAGAAUGUAAACAAUUAUUCUAAUAAUACAAAACUU